AGUGAACGCUGGCGGUAGGCCUAACACAUGCAAGUCGAACGGCAGCACAGUAAGAGCUUGCUCUUACGGGUGGCGAGUGGCGGACGGGUGAGGAAUACAUCGGAAUCUACUUUUUCGUGGGGGAUAACGUAGGGAAACUUACGCUAAUACCGCAUACGACCUACGGGUGAAAGCAGGGGAUCUUCGGACCUUGCGCGAUUGAAUGAGCCGAUGUCGGAUUAGCUAGUUGGCGGGGUAAAGGCCCACCAAGGCGACGAUCCGUAGCUGGUCUGAGAGGAUGAGCAGACACACUGGAACGGAGACACGGCCCGGACUCGUACGGGAGGCAGGAGUGGGAAAUGUGGGAAAAGGGGGGAAGCCCGGACCCAGCCAUGCCGGGGGGGGAAAGAAGGCCUUGGGGUGGAAAACCCUUUUUGUGGGAAAAAAAAAGCAGAAGGUUAAAACCCCGUUGUUGGGAGGGCACAAAAAAAAAAAGCCCCGGCAAUCUUCG
rnacentral:rRNA from 1 species